GAAAUUCCAAUCGAACCUGGAGAUAGCUGGUUCUCUCCGAAAUAGCUUUAGGGCUAGCCUCAAGUGAUGAUUAUUGGAGGUAGAGCACUGUUUGGACGAGGGGCCCCUCUCGGGUUACCGAAUUCAGACAAACUCCGAAUGCCAAUUAAUUUAACUUGGGAGUCAGAACAUGGGUGAUAAGGUCCGUGUUCGAAAGGGAAACAGCCCAGACCACCAGCUAAGGUCCCAAAAUAUAUGUUAAGUGGAAAAGGAUGUGGCGUUGCCCAGACAACUAGGAUGUUGGCUUAGAAGCAGCCAUCAUUUAAAGAGUGCGUAAUAGCUCACUAGUCGAGUGACACUGCGCCGAAAAUGUACCGGGGCUAAACAUAUUACCGAAGCUGUGGAUUGUCCUUUGGACAAUGGUAGGAGAGCGUUCUAAGGGCGUUGAAGCAUGAUCGUAAGGACAUGUGGAGCGCUUAGAAGUGAGAAUGCCGGUGUGAGUAGCGAAAGACGGGUGAGAAUCCCGUCCACCGAUUGACUAAGGUUUCCAGAGGAAGGCUCGUCCGCUCUGGGUUAGUCGGGUCCUAAGCUGAGGCCGACAGGCGUAGGCGAUGGAUAACAGGUUGAUAUUCCUGUACCACCUAUAAUCGUUUUAAUCGAUGGGGGGACGCAGUAGGAUAGGCGAAGCGUGCGAUUGGAUUGCACGUCUAAGCAGUAAGGCUGAGUAUUAGGCAAAUCCGGUACUCGUUAAGGCUGAGCUGUGAUGGGGAGAAGACAUUGUGUCUUCGAGUCGUUGAUUUCACACUGCCGAGAAAAGCCUCUAGAUAGAAAAUAGGUGCCCGUACCGCAAACCGACACAGGUAGUCAAGAUGAGAAUUCUAAGGUGAGCGAGCGAACUCUCGUUAAGGAACUCGGCAAAAUGACCCCGUAACUUCGGGAGAAGGGGUGCUCUUUAGGGUUAACGCCCAGAAGAGCCGCAGUGAAUAGGCCCAAGCGACUGUUUAUCAAAAACACAGGUCUCUGCUAAACCGUAAGGUGAUGUAUAGGGGCUGACGCCUGCCCGGUGCUGGAAGGUUAAGAGGAGUGGUUAGCUUCUGCGAAGCUACGAAUCGAAGCCCCAGUAAACGGCGGCCGUAACUAUAACGGUCCUAAGGUAGCGAAAUUCCUUGUCGGGUAAGUUCCGACCCGCACGAAAGGCGUAACGAUUUGGGCACUGUCUCAACGAGAGACUCGGUGAAAUCAUAGUACCUGUGAAGAUGCAGGUUACCCGCGACAGGACGGAAAGACCCCGUGGAGCUUU
rnacentral:rRNA from 1 species